AAAGUCAGAAAAUUUUUCAUUGAACAAGUGAAAUCAAAUGUGGAAAACGAAAUUAAUAUCUUAAAAAGUCCGUAAAGACACAAUGUCUGUUUUAAGCAAGUGGCAAUGGUGCCCUACGUGUGCUGCAGUUUUGCCGGACCCAAUUUUAUAGGUCGAAAGCCUAUCACCAUACUGGCCGACUAAAUACCGCCAUGAUUAUGGAAAUCUGGCCUAAUCUCCUACAUCGACAUGGCCAUCAGCUUCCUCAAUAGCGUAGCCGACUAAACAAAUCACCGCCCCAAAUUGCAUUCCAAAGUAGGGUUCUCCAAGAUGCACGGCAUGACCAAUCGCAUUCCAAAGUAUGGUUCUCCAAGAUGCACGGCAUGACCAACAACUUCAUCAAGCGUAGCCUACCACACAAAUCACCGUCCCAAAUCGCAUUCUAAAGUAUGGUUCUCCAGGAUGCACGGCAUGGCCAUCAGUUUCGUCAAAAACAUAGCCGUCCACAAAAUUUACCGCCCAAAAUCGCAUUCCAAAGUAUUGUUCUUCAAGAUGCACGGCAUGGCAAUCACCUCCGUCAAAAGCGUGGCCGACCACACAAAUCAUCGCCCCAAAUCACAUUCCAAAGUAUGGUUCUCCAAGAUGCACAGCAUGGCCAUCAGCUUCGUCAAAUGCGCAGCCGUCCACACAAAUCACCACCCAUAAACUCGGUCGAUCUACAACUUUUACUGAAGGAUAUUUUUCGAUCCGGGUCUUCAUAAGGACGUAAAUACAGAAAAUGCCGAUCAAUAA